GGGUAACCUGCCUUAUACAGGGGGAUAACAGUCAGAAAUGGCUGCUAAUACCGCAUAAGCGCACAGAGCUGCAUGGCUCAGUGUGAAAAACUCCGGUGGUAUAAGAUGGACCCGCGUUGGAUUAGCUAGUUGGUGGGGUAACGGCCCACCAAGGCGACGAUCCAUAGCCGGCCUGAGAGGGUGAACGGCCACAUUGGGACUGAGACACGGCCCAGACUCCUACGGGAGGCAGCAGUGGGGAAUAUUGCACAAUGGGGGAAACCCUGAUGCAGCGACGCCGCGUGAAGGAAGAAGUAUCUCGGUAUGUAAACUUCUAUCAGCAGGGAAGAUAGUGACGGUACCUGACUAAGAAGCCCCGGCUAACUACGUGCCAGCAGCCGCGGUGAUACGUAGGGGGCAAGCGUUAUCCGGAUUUACUGGGUGUAAAGGGAGCGUAGACGGUGUGGCAAGUCUGAUGUGAAAGGCAUGGGCUCAACCUGUGGACUGCAUUGGAAACUGUCAUACUUGAGUGCCGGAGGGGUAAGCGGAAUUCCUAGUGUAGCGGUGAAAUGCGUAGAUAUUAGGAGGAACACCAGUGGCGAAGGCGGCUUACUGGACGGUAACUGACGUUGAGGCUCGAAAGCGUGGGGAGCAA
rnacentral:rRNA from 1 species